rnacentral:tRNA from 3 species
UCCCAGAGCAUAUCCAAUCUCAAAAAUGUUUUGAACAAAUAUCCAAAUAUUAUUAUUAAAUAGACA